GUAUUGUAUUGCGUUAAACGCGGUGCACAUUCCAUAAGACUUCACUACGGUGUAUGUGUAAAGACGUAGAACCACGGGAAGAGGACGGCAAGUCCUCCAGACCAUAGAACUACGGUGGGUGCACAGGUGUGAGUGGAUGUGUAACAGAGCGUGCACAUGCCCCCUUGUUUUGAGGACCAGCAACAGCUCGUGUCAACAACUCGGUAAUGAUCCUUCCGCAGGUUCACCUACGGAAA
rnacentral:misc_RNA from 1 species